UCCGGUUGAUCCUGCCGGACCCGACUGCUAUCAGAGUGGGACUAAGCCAUGCGAGUCAACAUAGCAAUAUGUGGCAUACGGCUCAGUAACACGUAGUCAACAUGCCCAGGGGACGUGGAUAACCUCGGGAAACUGGGGAUAAACCGCGAUAAGUCACUGCUUCUGGAAUGGGUAAUGACUUAAAUCUAUAUGGCCCCUGGAUUGGACUGCGGCCGAUCAGGCUGUUGGUGAGGUAAUGGCCCACCAAACCUGUAACCGGUACGGGCUCUGAGAGGAGGAGCCCGGAGAUGGGCACUGAGACAAGGGCCCAGGCCCUAUGGGGCGCAGCAGGCGCGAAACCUCUGCAAUAGGCGAAAGCCUGACAGGGUUACUCUGAGUGAUUUCCGUUAAGGAGAUCUUUUGGCACCUCUAAAAAUGGUGCAGAAUAAGGGGUGGGCAAGUCUGGUGUCUGCCGCCGCGGUAAUACCAGCACCCCGAGUGGUCGGGACGUUUAUUGGGCCUAAAGCAUCCGUAGCCGGUUCUGCAAGUCUUCCGUUAAAUCCACCUGCUUAACAGAUGGGCUGCGGAAGAUACUAUAGAGCUAGGAGGCGGGAGAGGCAAGCGGUACUCGAUGGGUAGGGGUAAAAUCCGUUGAUCCAUUGAAGACCACCAGUGGCGAAGGCGGCUUGCCAGAACGCGCUCGACGGUGAGGGAUGAAAGCCGGGGGAGCAAACCGGAUUAGAUACCCGGGUAGUCCCAGCUGUAAACGAUGCAGACUCGGUGAUGAAUUGGCUUUAUGCCAAUUCAGUGCCGCAGGGAAGCCGUUAAGUUUGCCGCCUGGGGAGUACGGUCGCAAGACUGAAACUUAAAGGAAUUGGCGGGGGAGCACCACAAGGGGUGAAGCCUGCGGUUCAAUUGGAGGCAACGCCGGAAAUCUUACCGGGGGCGACAGCAGAAUGAAGGUCAAGCUGAAGACUUUACCAGACAAGCUGAGAGGAGGUGCAUGGCCGUCGCCAGCUCGUGCCGUGAGGUGUCCUGUUAAGUCAGGUAACGAGCGAGACCCCUGCCUCUAGUUGCUACCAUUAUUCUCAGGAGUAGUGGAGCUAAUUAGAGGGACUGCCGUCGCUGAGACGGAGGAAGGAGGGGGCUACGGCAGGUCAGUAUGCCCCGAAACCCUCGGGCCACACGCGGGCUGCAAUGGUAAGGACAAUGAGUAUCGAUUCCGAAAGGAGGAGGCAAUCUCUAAACCUUACCACAGUUAUGAUUGAGGGCUGAAACUCGCCCUCAUGAAUAUGGAAUCCCUAGUAACCGCGUGUCACUAUCGCGCGGUGAAUACGUCCCUGCUCCUUGCACACACCGCCCGUCGCUUCAUCGAAGUUGGUUCUUGGCGAGGUGAUGCCUAAUUGGUACUAUCGAACCUGGGGUCAGCAACGAGGGAG
rnacentral:rRNA from 1 species